rnacentral:tRNA from 1 species
GGGCGGUUAGCUCAGUAGGUCAGAGCGCUGGUCUCACAUACCAGAGGUCGGAGGUUCGACUCCUCCACCGCCUACCA